GAUGAACGCUGGCGGUAUGCUUAACACAUGCAAGUCGAACGGGAAGUUUUCGGACUUCUAGUGGCGGACGGGUGAGUAACGCGUGAGAAUCUGCCUUUUGGACGGGGACAACUGCUGGAAACGGCAGCUAAGACCGGAUAUGCCCUUGGGUGAAAUAUUGUAUAGCCAAAAGAGGAGCUCGCGACCGAUUAGCUAGUUGGUGGGGUAAGAGCCUACCAAGGCUGCGAUCGGUAGCCGGUUUGAGAGGACGACCGGCCACACUGGGACUGAGACACGGCCCAGACUCCUACGGGAGGCAGCAGUGGGGAAUUUUCCGCAAUGGGCGAAAGCCUGACGGAGCAAUACCGCGUGAGGGAGGAAGGCUCUUGGGUCGUAAACCUCUUUUCUCAAGGAAGAAUCAAAUGACGGUACUUGAGGAAUCAGCAUCGGCUAACUCCGUGCCAGCAGCCGCCGUAACAC
rnacentral:rRNA from 1 species